UACGUAGGGGGCAAGCGUUGUCCGGAUUUAUUGGGCGUAAAGAGCGUGUAGGCGGCCAAACAGGUCAGCUGUGAAAACUCGAGGCUCAACCUCGAGACGUCGGUUGAAACCGUUUGGCUAGAGUCCGGAAGAGGAGAGUGGAAUUCCCGGUGUAGCGGUGGAAUGCGCAGAUAUCAGGAGGAACACCAAUAGCGAAGGCAGCUCGCUGGGACGUUACUGACACUGAGGCGCGAAAGCGUGGGGAGCGAACAGG
rnacentral:rRNA from 1 species